UCAUUCUCUUUCCUUCGCAGCGCGUGCGGCUGGUGUCAGAGGUUUCUGCUCUUUUCCGUUUGGUAGAGGCCUGUGGCAACGAUGUGAAUUUAACCCGCUCAACGCAGGCAGCCCAGGGCUCGCUCUGCAGGGGCUUCACCCAAAUGAAGUUUCCUUUUCUGUUGCUGACCCUCAAAAAGAUAUUUGGCUUAUAGUGGAUGCUGAUGAAUGAACAGACGGCAGCAGUCAGGCAGUCCUGAGAACCAUAAGGGUUUUCUGAGGAAGGAGGCAUAAUAUUGCAAGCUUGAUUUCAUCCUCCAUUCUGAUCAUUUGAUGUCCCACUGUCUGGCAGCUGAUUUGUUUAGUGACCCAUUGACCUGAAAUACACAAAAGUGGCUGACCAGUGAAUUCCAGGGUAUCUAAGAAACCCAAAGUAGAUGUGAUGGACCCAGGAGACAUGCUACGGAGGCAAGAAUCCUCUUAGACGUUAUUUACCACCUAAUCGGUUGUUGUAUUAAUUAUGGCUGUAAAGCUUCAGGCCACCAGAAUACACAUUUUUUCCUCACUCGCAUACAUAACCCCUCACAUCAGCAUUGGUGCACUAGACUCUGUAAAAAUUUUUCAGUCACACUUUGUUUUUAAACUUGAGUCAAUAUAAACCUUGUUCAAAAUGUUAUGAAAAAAUGUACAUGUUUAUACAAGGCAGGUUGUGACAGGACACUGGGGUUCUUUCCCCGUGGGCGGCCCCAGGAGGAGGGGGCUGGAGUCUCACACAUUUGUGUCUCUAUCUCCUCCCACCACCCUUCCCACCCAAUCCCCCAGGAACCAGCAGCGCCCUGCCCCCCCUAGUGAGUGCACUCACACCCCUAUUCCCUGGGGAAGAAGCUAGUUGACCUUUGCCAUUUUCCCCACACCCCUGGAGGAGGGGGCCAGGAUCAGCCAGGCCCUCUCCACUGUAAUUGUUCGCCCCUCUGGGCCAGACCAAAGGGACGCUGCUCUGUACAGGUAGAGUCCAAGGAGGUGUCAGCUCAUCAUAUCAUUGCUGUUCACGCCGUAAGUGGAAUUCUUCAUCGAGUCGUUGACUUCUCGACGGAAUGCUGACAGAUUCUGGGUGAACCUACAGAGAGGAUGCAUGUAGGUUGGGGGAGCAGGGUGGAAGGGAAAGAUCUUUGCCUAAAAUGUUUCUAGCAGACAAGUGCCUACUGAGAGGCAGAACGUAUGAAUCGGUUGUUUCUAAGGUCAGUUAAUCUCAGUCUUAAGACUUUAAGGGAAAGUUUGGGCUAGUUUUGCACCCCUUUCUACCUGACAACUUCAUGGCAGGCCUCGAGAUCUGGUCAAAUCUGGGGCUCUGAGGAUCACCUUGGGUUCAUGGCAGCACAAAAGGAAUCUCACUGACAGAGACGGGAAGUAACCCUCACAAAGUGAGAGCUGGGAGAGGAUGAAGCUGUCUCAUUUCUUAAUGCCAAGAGACCUGUGCUGUCCAGUAUGGCAGCCAUUAGCCACACGUGGCUGUAGACCACCUGAACUGUGCUCAGUGCAACUGAGGAACUGAAUCCAAUUAAAAGAAAUUUAAAAUUCAGUUCCCCAAUCGCACCUUAAUUAAAAUGCCAUUUUUAAAUUAAUUAAAAUUAAAGAAAAUUUAAAAAUCAAUUUAGAAAAACCUGACGUUCAAUUCAGUUAUUGGACAACUUCUAAGUAUGUUUGGAACAACUUGAGUAUGGGAAUCUAAUUGCAACUGUAAGUUUUAUGAAAUCUAAAUACAAAUCAAGUAUUUCCGAUGAAAAUGUAGCAUAUGGGGCUUCCCUGGUGGUGCAGUGGUUGAGAGUCCGCCUGCCGAUGCAGGGGACACGGGUUCGUGCCCCGGUCCGGGAGGAUCCCACAUGCCGC